rnacentral:rRNA from 1 species
UACAGAGGUGCCAAGCGUUAGGCGGAAUCACUGGGCUUAAAGCGCGUGUAGGUGGACGGGUAAGUAUCUUGUGAAAUCCCACGGCUCAACCGUGGAACUGCUGGAUAUACUGCUUGUCUUGAGGCACUUAGGGGCAGCUGGAACAAAUGGUGGAGCGGUGAAAUGCGUAGAUAUGCGGAGGAACACCGAUGGCGAAGGCAAUCCCCUGGACCUGUACUGACGCUCAUGCACGAAAGCGUGGGGAGCAAACAGG